rnacentral:rRNA from 1 species
UACGAAGGGGGCUAGCGUUGCUCGGAAUCACUGGGCGUAAAGGGUGCGUAGGCGGGUCUUUAAGUCAGGGGUGAAAUCCUGGAGCUCAACUCCAGAACUGCCUUUGAUACUGAGGAUCUUGAGUUCGGGAGAGGUGAGUGGAACUGCGAGUGUAGAGGUGAAAUUCGUAGAUAUUGGGAAGAACACCGGUGGCGAAGGCGGCGACCUGGUCCGAUACUGACGCUGAGGCGCGAAAGCGUGGGGAGCGAACAGG